GAGGUCUUGCAGGAACGACGGGUCGAGGGGCGGCGCUCGGAGCUCCGGUAGCAACAGGCGGAGGGAUCUCUGCCUCGUUCACAGGCCUCCCUUUUUUAACAGCCGCUAACAUCGACUCCAACGUCUGUACACAGCAACAGAUAUCACCAACCUUCAGACCACGGUCAUAUCUCCUGGCCUUGGACGUCUCUCCUGCGGUCUUGGCGUUCUGCAGAGCCGUCCUGUACAUGGCUGCUCUCUCCUCCAGGGUGUGUUGGAGGCUGCCGGGGGCUGCAGAGGACGUCUUCACUUCCUUCUGCUUCACGAGUUUAACAACAAAACAACAAGCAGGCAAUGUAAACAUCAGCAUGGAUCACAGGAGGAAAAGUAUGUGUCACACAGAUGUACAAUGAGAUGGAAUUAAACACUAAAUGCAGACUUACCAGGAAGAAGUGAAAAUAUUCACCUCAGGUGCAUCUACUCUACCGGUAAUGUUAGCAAGUUGAAAACUGUUGUUUGCAUAAAAACACUAAUCUGAUUGAACAUGAACAUAGGAAAGAAGACAGAAGCUUGUCUCCCUUCCUGUUACUGGCAACAGACAAACAUUUCUGCCAUGUAUGUUGGUGGCGGGCCGUGUUGUUUUCACGUGUUGUUUUUCUACCUGCGCCACUGGAGAUUCUGGUGUUGCAGCUUGAGAAGAUUCAGCCAGAGAGGAGGAUGUGGAGGAAGCAGUUACCGCAUCCUCAGCUUCCUCAUCACCCACCACUUCCUGCAGCUCUGCCUGAUGAGGAAAGAACACAGCAACUGAUCAACGAGCCGGAUCUGACUGCUCACGUACGAAGCUGGAUUUAAGAGGUAAAAUAACACUUCCACCUCUAGUUCCCAGCCUCUCAUGGUGCCUCCAGAGCUGUAAAUCCACUCACUCUUCCCCUUGGGCUUGGUUCUCCCUCCUGCAGCAGCUUUAUUCCCGGUGAUAGCAGCGAGUUCAGCCUCC